UCGGAUUGCAGGCUGCAACCCGCCUGCAUGAAGUUGGAAUCGCUAGUAAUCGCGGAUCAGCAUGCCGCGGUGAAUACGUUCCCGGGCCUUGUACACACCGCCCGUCACACCAUGAGAGUCGGGAACACCCGAAGUCCGUAGCCUGACCGCAAGGGGGCGCGGCCGAAGGUGGGUUCGAUAAUUGGGGUGAAGUCGUAACAAGGUAGC
rnacentral:rRNA from 1 species